UACUAUUUGUGCUAUGACCCUUAUACACGCUCUUGUGGUGAAAAAGAGACCAGACCACAUCCAUCGCUCAAGCUCUACAAUGCCUCACUUCAUCCUUAUGUUAAUGAUUGUCAUGGCUGGGUUAUCUCAAGCUCAAGAUCAAGCAAUCUAUCCAGCAAAGAUUUUUUCCAACAUAAACAAACACAAACUGGAGUUUACAUGCAGCACAUAUGGGCUGAAGGAAAAAGAGAAGGACAGCAAUGUUUAUAUUUACCUCUGUAGAAAUGGAAUUGCCAUAGAUAUGAGAUCAAGCUGUAGAGAUGCUACAUUUUAUAUAGACAACCCUACAAAUGACAAUACAGGAAAUUACAGUUGUCUCUUUUCAGUGUAUAAUUAUAACUACACGGUUGUGAAAGGA